UACUAUGGAGAGUUUGAUCCUGGCUCAGGACGAACGCUGGCGGCGGGCUUAACACAUGCAAGUCGAACGAGAAGCCGGGUGCUUGCACCUGGUGGAAAGUGGCGCACGGGUGAGUAACGCGUAGGCAAUCUGCCCUCAGGCGGGGAAUAACCACGGGAAACCGUGGCUAAUACCACAUAACGUCGGAGGUCCGCAUGGACCACCGAUCAAAGGCUUCGGCCACCUGAGGAUGAGCCUGCGUCGGAUUAGCUAGUUGGUGAGGUAACAGCUCACCAAGGCGACGAUCCGUAGCGGGUCUGAGAGGAUGAUCCGCCACACUGGCACUGAGACACGGGCCAGACUCCUACGGGAGGCAGCAGUGAGGAAUAUUGCGCAAUGGACGAAAGUCUGACGCAGCCACGCCGCGUGCAGGAAGACACCCCUCAGGGGCGUAAACUGCUUUUAUACGGGAAGAACACCUCCUUCUGGGAGGUCUGACGGUACCGUACGAAUAAGGACCGGCUAACUCCGUGCCAGCAGCCGCGGUAAUACGGAGGGUCCAAGCGUUGUCCGGAAUCACUGGGUGUAAAGGGUGCGCAGGCGGGCGUGUAAGUCAGGGGUGAAAGCCACCGGCCUAACCGGUGAACUGCCCUUGAUACUGCACGUCUUGAGUCCCGGAGAGGCUAUCGGAAUUCGUGGUGUAGCGGUGAAAUGCGUAAAUAUCACGAGGAACACCUGAUGCGUAGGCGGAUAGCUGGACGGGUACUGACGCUCAGGCACGAAAGCGUGGGGAGCAAACAGGAUUAGAUACCCUGGUAGUCCACGCCGUAAACGAUGGAUGCUCGAUGUUGCACCGCUUCAGGUGCAGUGUCUAAGCUAACGCGUUAA
rnacentral:rRNA from 1 species